rnacentral:misc_RNA from 1 species
GUUUGCUCAUGAUUUCCAUUUUUAUUUCCUCAUGAUUUUUCCCCUUUUCUCAAAAUCAUAUUAUGUUGUAUUUCUUGUACAAUCUUGGUAGUUGAAAUGGUUGUGGGCUAUCUUUUAAGGGACAUCUGCUGGAAUUGGAGGUAUAUGGGUUUAAAGGUGGCUAUUUAUUGGUGAAUAUUAAGAUUUGAGACUAACAACUGGGAUUUUAGGGACAGGCGGGAAGGCGCGAUGCUUGUUUCCAUCUGCAAUAGCAAAAUGAUGGAUUGUAGUUUAAAUAAUAGAAAAUAGAUGAAGAGUGCAAGAAGUUGAAGAAGAGUAUGGAUAAUCAGAAGAAAGAGAGAACAAAGGCAACCUAGGUCUGUGAACAAGCUAUCGAAUAAUCCUCCAAAGUACAUAUUGAGCCCCAUAUAAACUUGAUGAAUAUACAUGAAACCUGAUUUACUCUCGUCGAUGGUUUGUUUCUAAAAACCAAAGAAAGAUGCUCGAUUUUUUUUAAUAUCAUUAUAGAUUUUUUACUGUAUUUUUUCAUUUAUUUUGAAGUUUGAUGUAAGAAAAGAUUGUACAAUGUGAUUAAAUAGUAGUUAAAAUUUGAGGAUAAUUAAAUUAGCAGCUUGAACUUUUGGGGGUCAUUGCCAGUUGAAUCCAUGCUCCAAAAUAUUACUGUAUCAACCCUGCACUUUAGUAAACCAUUACAAUUAAAGCCCUUUUGAAUCUUUUAUUCUCAAAUUCUUAUUUAUUUUCCGGUGAAAUGGUGAUAAUUGGGAUCUAAAGAAAACUCUUGGCAGUUCUAAAAAUUUUUUAGUGCAGUUUUUACAAAUAAGAAUAAUUUAUCUGCACUACAUUUAAAAAGAUUUGAUCUUAUAUCUAAAACUGAUCUCUAAGAUCUCUUUAUAAUGCUUAAUUGCUUUUUACAAAUCACGUGUUAAAUUAAAGCAAAUUAUAUGAUGCUUAAACCACUAAACCAAUUUUAUCAAAUGAAAAAUGGAUUGAGA